rnacentral:rRNA from 1 species
UACUCGAGUGGCUAACGGGUGAGUAACACGUGGGUGAUCUGCCCUGCACUUCGGGAUAAGCUUGGGAAACUGGGUCUAAUACCGGAUAGGAACCAUCUUUAGUGUGGUGGUUGGAAAGUUUUUUCGGUGUAGGAUGAGCUCGCGGCCUAUCAGCUUGUUGGUGGGGUAAUGGCCUACCAAGGCGGCGACGGGUAGCCGGCCUGAGAGGGUGUACGGCCACAUUGGGACUGAGAUACGGCCCAG